rnacentral:rRNA from 1 species
GACGAACGCUGGCGGCGUGCUUAACACAUGCAAGUCGAACGGAAAGAUGCUGCUUUUGCUGCUCUCUCGAGAGCGGAACGCGUGUGUGAAACGUGUGUAAACUCCACCUGUAUGACGGAGAACACCACGAGAAACCGGAUAUUAUACCGUAUAAUCUCCUGCACCGUAUGGUGCGUUGGAGAGAGACGGCGUUGGGGUCUCGACUCGCGGGUUCUUCGCCGCAUGAGCUAGUUGGUAAGGACAAGGCUUACCAAGGCAACGAUGCGUAGCCGAGCUGAGAGGGUGAGCGGCCACACUGGAACGGAGACACGGUCCAGACGCCUACGGGAGGCAGCAGUAGGGAAUCUUGCGCAAUGGGCGAAAGCCUGACGGAGCAACGCCGCGGGAGGGAGGAAGGUCGUCGGGUCGGAAAUCUCUGUUAUUAGGGAAGAACAAGUGUGUGAGUAACUAUGCGCGUCAGGACGGUACCUGAGCAGAAAGCCACGGCUAACUACGUG